AAGACAGGGACCCCAGAAAACAUCCUCUGAAGGGCUUUUUUUUUUUUUUUUUUCAGAUAGGCCCUGUGGGGAAAGCUUAAAUCAGAAAGUUCCAAGCUGCCAUCAUCUGUUCCCAGCACAGUGAGUACCACUGAGGCAGUGGCAGCUGGGAGUGGGGACCACUGUGGAGACAUGGACCCAGAAGCCCUUUGCAGGCCCAGCCUCCGUCCUUCCUGACUCUUCCCUCCGCAGGACUACUAGUCACAGAUGCAGGGCAAUGCAUGCAGCUGGGGAGUGGAAGGGAUUCAGGAUGAAGAAACUGAGUCACAAAAACCCAAGCCACAGAGCUACUUAAGUGGAAAUGCCAAGAUAUGAACCCAAGCAGUGUGACUCCAUCGCCUGUCCGCAGGUGCUCCCGGGACCUACCCUAGCCUGUGUAACUAGACAAGCUACUUCGCCUCUCGGAGCCUCAGGUUCUUCAUCUUUACAAUGGGCCUGGGCACUGCUGCCCAGGCUCUGCCCUCGGCCAGAGUAUCGUGGAACAUGAAAGAAGUUAGUCAUGAUGUUUUGAAUAAGAACCAGUCCCAGGCUGGAUACGGCCCUCGACCUCCCCUGUUUAACAUGGACAAAUCUCAGUUCCUACAGCCUGUCCUCUGAAGUUCUCCUUUUGAUCCUUUCAGCAUCCAUAUCAACUCUUUGAUGAACUUCCUGAUUUCCCACACUUCCCAGAGCUUGUAAAGCCUCAUCAGACAUUUUAUGUGGCUCUCUAUUCCUCCCAAAUCCCUUUCACACACAUUACUUCUUUUGGGACUUGGAACGCAACCCUGUGAUGUUGGCAAGGUCCCGUUCACCUUUCCCACUGCCCAGAGAAGCCAAAUGAGACCCAGAGAGGCCAAGGCACUUAUCUAAGUUCGCACAGCUAUUGAGGAGGCAGGGCGGACAUUCCCAGUCAGGUCUCGCGGUGCUGAUGUUGAAAGCGCUGUCUAAUGUGAGCCUCAACACUCGUUGGGAAGGCCCAGGCCCUUGAAUGCUUUUGAAAUCUCUACUACACUUUGAUGGCUGGUGGCCAGUUAACAUUUAGGUCAUGGGUUUCCUUCCCCAGGUGUGUGUUCACCCUGUUCUGUACCCCCAUGUCAUCUUACCCCCAGUGGCAGAGGCUGACAGCAUAAAGCCAAGCCACAACAACAGCUAGCUCCUAGCCUUCGAGGUUACCGAAGGCAAUUUGGGGGCCACCAGCUCCAGGUCCAUCCCAUGUAGUCCUCAUUUGUCCCAUUUCUGUGAGGUUGGCACUGACUCACUGCUUGCUACCCUCUGGGUUAUCAGCCUGUGGUGCAAUCAGAAGAGAUUUUCAUCUGUGUGGGGGUGGCGUAAGUGUGGUUGGGUCUACCCUACUGGGGUGACCAGCCUGACCAGGGGGAGGGGUCAAAUUCAUCAACUUCAUGGAUGGAAGACCUUGGUGGUUUCGUUUUCCCCAAACUUAGCUAGCCUAUGCUAUGGUCUGCUCAAAGAUGAUCACAUAGUAUUUUUACGUGAAACUUGUGUGCGUGGCUAAAAUUUGGCCAAUUUUACCUUGUCUAAUGGGUUUCGUGUUUGCCCAGAGGGUGGCAAGAGAUUCAUUAAUACGGUGGAAGGAGCUGACUUGCAACCCCAGGAACUGGCCCGUAACCAUGCCGGUCCAUCUUCCCAUCUGACUCAUUGGAAGCCUAGUCCCAACAAUCUAGAUCAAAACAAUAAAAACAACAAAGAAAAUGCCCUCUUAAAAAGUUAAAUUUGAUGAUGAGCUGAUAGCCUGUUACAAUUUUUAAAAAAUCCAUACUCUUUCCAUGACCUAUAAAUCUUUACAUGUCCUGGCCAUGUCCUACACCUCCAACCAUAGCUCUUUCCUCUUGCCCCAUGCUCACCGUGCUGGGCCACCUCUUAAACAUCCCAAGCUCUUUUCCAUCUUAAAGCCUGUGUUCUCACCACUCCCUUUGUCUGGAACGGUUCCUGACCCAUCCCUUUGAACAUCCCACAUCUAGUCCUAUAGACUAAAUGUCAUGUACCCCUAAAAUUUGUAUGUUGAAAUCUAUUCCCCAGUGUGAUGGUAUUUAAAGGUGGGGCUUUUGGGGGUGAUUAGGUAAUGAGGGUGGAGCCCUCAUGAAUGAGAUUCGUGCCCUUAUCAAAGAGGUCCCCGGGAGCUCCCAGGUCCCUUCUGCCUUGUGAAGACACAGUGAAAAGACAGGCACCUGUGAACCGGAAAGUGGGCUCUUGCCAGACACGAAAUCUGCUAUUGCCUUGA